rnacentral:rRNA from 1 species
AGUGAACGCUGGCGGUAGGCCUAACACAUGCAAGUCGAACGGCAGCACAGUAAGAGCUUGCUCUUCCGGGUGGCGAGUCGCGGAAGGGUGAGGAAUAUAUCGGACUCUACUCUUUCGUGGGGGUUAAGGUAGGGAAACCUACGCCCAUACAGCAUCCGCCCUUCGGGUGAAAGCGGGGGAAAUUCGCACCUUGUGCGGAUGAACGCGCGGAUGUCGGAUUAGUUGGUUGGCGGGGUGAUGGCCCACCAAGGCGCCGAUCCGUAGCUGGUCUGGGAGGAUGGUCGGCCGCACUGGAACUGGAACACGGUCCAGGCUCCUACGGGAGGCAGCAGUGGGGAAUAUGGGACAAUGGGCGCAAGCCUUAUCCAGCCAUACCGCGUGGGAGAAGAAGGCCUUCGGGGUGUAAAGCCCUUUUUUUGGGAGAGAAAAGCAUCAGGUUGAGACCCCGCGUUUCUGACGGUACCCAAAGAAGAAGCACCGGCUAACUACGUG